UAUUGCACAAUGGGCGCAAGCCUGAUGCAGCCAUGCCGCGUGUAUAAAGAAGGCCUUCGGGUNGUAAAGUACUUUCAGCGGGGAGNNAGNNNGNGAGGUUAAUAACCUUACUGAUUGACGUUACCCGCAGNNNANGNACCGGCUAACGCCGUGCCAGCAGCCGCGGUAAUACGGAGGGUGCAAGCGUUAAUCGGAAUUACUGGGCGUAAAGCGCACGCAGGCGGUCUGUUAAGUCAGAUGUGAAAUCCCCGGGCUUAACCUGGGAACUGCAUUUGAAACUGGCAGGCUUGAGUCUCGUAGAGGGGGGUAGAAUUCCAGGUGUAGCGGUGAAAUGCGUAGAGAUCUGGAGGAAUACCGGUGGCGAAGGCGGCCCCCUGGACGAAGACUGACGCUCAGGUGCGAAAGCGUGGGGAGCAAACAGG
rnacentral:rRNA from 1 species